AAAAAAAAAGAAAUAGAAUUGCUUUUGCAACUUUGAAUGUCAAUUGUUGUUUUGGAAGUAAAACCGUUUCCCGUUGGGUGGACACAAACAGCACACAAGACUUAAAGGCAAAUAAUAAUAUGAUACUCUCGCACUCGUACAAGGAUAUUCUGCAUCUUUUCCAGAGAGAGCGCUCAAUAUAAUACCGAUUAUUGUUGUCCUUUCUUCGGGCAAUAAAAAGCGCCAAAAUUAAGUAAGAAGUAUAGAAUUGGUAUAAUGUUUGGUCGCGCCAGAAGAGGAGCCAAGGACGAAUGGAAUUUAUUUCUUUACCUUGGAAAUAUUGCUCGCAAUUGUAUUUAUAUUUGUUAUUUCAUCAUUUUAUUUACUUUUUGUUGUUUAUUGUUUUGGAAAGUGAAAGUUUUAUUUGAAAAAAUAAGGAUAUGGGUUACUUUUA